CGUCUAUAUACGUAUAGCAUAUCAAUAAGCGGAGGAAAAGAAACUAACUAGGAUUCCCUUAGUAACGGCGAGUGAAGCGGGAAGAGCUCAAAUUUGAAAUCUUCAAGGUUCUACCUUGACGAAUUGUAGUUUAAAGAAGUGUUUUCUGUUGGAUGUUUUGGUAAAAGUUCUUUGGAAUAGGACAUCAUAGAGGGUGAGAAUCCCGUAUUUGACCAUUACCUCCAGCUUUGUGAUACACUUUCAAAGAGUCGGAUUGUUUGGGAAUGCAGUCCAAAAUGGGUGGUAAAUUUCAUCUAAAGCUAAAUACUGGCGAGAGACCGAUAGCGAACAAGUACCGUGAGGGAAAGAUGAAAAGAACUUUGAAAAGAGAGUUAAACAGUACGUGAAAUUGUCAAAAGGGAAGCGUUUGACACCAGUGUUGUUUUCUCGAAAAUCAAUUAAAAAAGGCCGGAUUUUGUGUUGUAUUGACUUUAUCAGCUUUCUGCACUCCUUUCUUGUCUUUUUUAAUGCACUUUUCGUUUAACAAGUCAACAUCAAUUUCUUUUGUUGUAAAAGGGUCAUUGGAAGGUGGCUUUCUUUUCGGAGAAAGUGUUUAUAGCCUUUGGCCUCUGCAAUCGGAGAGAUUGAGGUCUGCAGCGUAGAUCCUUCGGGGUUAGAUACAUUUGUGCUAAGUUAUAGCCUUUCAUAGACAACUUGUUGACUAUGAUCAGUCAUGUAGCUUACUCGCUUAUGCUAUUUUACCUACGCUUAGGAUGUUGAAGUCAUCGUAUCGCGC
rnacentral:rRNA from 1 species